rnacentral:misc_RNA from 1 species
CGUAUUUUGCAUAUGAUCUCUAUCGAUCCUUUGAUCGUUGAAAUCGUCGAAUUAAAUUAUUCCCGAAUAUCGAAAUAUCCAUCCCAAAACAUUAUACGCUGACACAUCUCGCAAACGAUAGGGAGAUAUUUCCGGAGCGUAAAAUUUCUCGAUUGAUGGCGAAGAAUUCGAUUUACGUCGCUGUGAACGACGCUUAAUCGAGAGCCUACGGAAAGGUACCACGAACAGUUCGCUCGCAUAAUGGGCAUAGGGCGAACCCAAGAAGAAUCGUGGACCAAAGCCGCACCUUGUGCUGGCCACGAACUCACCGCCAUGUGUCACGGGGCAAGAAAAAGAAAGGAAGAGAGAGAAAGGAAGAGGGAGAAAGAGGGGAAUCU